GUUGAAAAAUUAGCGGAUGACUUGUGGCUGGGGGUGAAAGGCCAAUCAAACCGGGAGAUAGCUGGUUCUCCCCGAAAGCUAUUUAGGUAGCGCCUCGUGAACUCAUCUUCGGGGGUAGAGCACUGUUUCGGCUAGGGGGUCAUCCCGACUUACCAACCCGAUGCAAACUGCGAAUACCGGAGAAUGUUAUCACGGGAGACACACGGCGGGUGCUAACGUCCGUCGUGAAGAGGGAAACAACCCAGACCGCCAGCUAAGGUCCCAAAGUCAUGGUUAAGUGGGAAACGAUGUGGGAAGGCCCAGACAGCCAGGAUGUUGGCUUAGAAGCAGCCAUCAUUUAAAGAAAGCGUAAUAGCUCACUGGUCGAGUCGGCCUGCGCGGAAGAUGUAACGGGGCUAAACCAUGCACCGAAGCUGCGGCAGCGACGCUUAUGCGUUGUUGGGUAGGGGAGCGUUCUGUAAGCCUGUGAAGGUGUGCUGUGAGGCAUGCUGGAGGUAUCAGAAGUGCGAAUGCUGACAUAAGUAACGAUAAAGCGGGUGAAAAGCCCGCUCGCCGGAAGACCAAGGGUUCCUGUCCAACGUUAAUCGGGGCAGGGUGAGUCGACCCCUAAGGCGAGGCCGAAAGGCGUAGUCGAUGGGAAACAGGUUAAUAUUCCUGUACUUGGUGUUACUGCGAAGGGGGGACGGAGAAGGCUAUGUUGGCCGGGCGACGGUUGUCCCGGUUUAAGCGUGUAGGCUGGUUUUCCAGGCAAAUCCGGAAAAUCAAGGCUGAGGCGUGAUGACGAGGCACUACGGUGCUGAAGCAACAAAUGCCCUGCUUCCAGGAAAAGCCUCUAAGCAUCAGGUAACAUCAAAUCGUACCCCAAACCGACACAGGUGGUCAGGUAGAGAAUACCAAGGCGCUUGAGAGAACUCGGGUGAAGGAACUAGGCAAAAUGGUGCCGUAACUUCGGGAGAAGGCACGCUGAUAUGUAGGUGAAGUCCCUUGCGGAUGGAGCUGAAAUCAGUCGAAGAUACCAGCUGGCUGCAACUGUUUAUUAAAAACACAGCACUGUGCAAACACGAAAGUGGACGUAUACGGUGUGACGCCUGCCCGGUGCCGGAAGGUUAAUUGAUGGGGUUAGCGGUAACGCGAAGCUCUUGAUCGAAGCCCCGGUAAACGGCGGCCGUAACUAUAACGGUCCUAAGGUAGCGAAAUUCCUUGUCGGGUAAGUUCCGACCUG
rnacentral:rRNA from 1 species